UGAGGAAUUUUCUGCAAUGGGCGAAAGCCUGACAGAGCAAUACCGCGUGAGGGAAGAAGGCUUACUGAGUUGUAAACCUCGGUGCCUUAAGGAAGAAGAUCUGACGGUACUUAAGGUGGAAAGCAUCGGCUAACCCCGUGCCAGCAGCCGCGGUAAGACGGGGGAUGCAAGUGUUAUCCGGAAUUACUGGGCGUAAAGCGUCUGCAGGUGGUUUCUUAAGUCCACUGUUAAACCUUGAGGCUCAACCUCAAAUCUGCAGUGGAAACUAGGGAACUUGAGGAUAGUAGGGGUAGAGGGAAUUUCCAGUGGAGCGGUGAAAUGCGUAGAUAUUGGAAAGAACACCGAUGGCGAAGGCACUCUACUGGGCUAUGACUGACACUCAGAGACGAAAGCUAGGGGAGCAAAUGGG
rnacentral:rRNA from 1 species